CAGCGGGAGAUUGUGAGCUAGUAUUAGAGAACUAUUAAACGGAAUAAACUUAGCCAAAUUGUUGCUGCUAGUGUGCAAAAUUAGGGAAAAGAGGAGCUUAUGCAUCAGGAAGCAGUGCCAAAGUAUUGUUAAUUGUAUUUUUUUGGUUUGGGAUUGGAAAACAUUUAUUGAAUCUCGGCCAGGUUUUUGGUUCAUUAGAAUUCCUGUGUUCUGGAUAGAAGAUGGCGAGCCACCCAGUUUGAAUUGGUGACCUUCGAUUGGUUUGUGCAGGACGUCCUUACAUCCAGUAUUCGGUAGGACUGUGCAAUUACGACCUAUGGAAUUAUUUUUCUAGGAACUUAAUUUACUUGGAAUCUGAAGGAACUUGUGAAUUGGAACUGAUCUGAGCUUAGCAACGUGAACUGAAUGGACAGAACUGGUGAUCCUUAAUUCACCCAGUAAUACACCUAUACUGCUAAAACACACACACACACACACACACCUGUUAUUGUUAUUGAGUUUUAUGUAUUUGUUGUUCAAAUAAUACAAGUGUUAUUUUGUAUGCAAGUGUUUGCUUUUUUAUAAAUUUCAAAGCCUAAAUUAAUAUUAAGUGAAUUGUUCAUUUAAGGGAAUAGACCAUUGUAUAUAUUUACUGUAUUUACAUAAGCGAACCUAGUGUGUACUUACCCACAGCAGGGUUACAUAAACACUUAAUUUAAUUUAAUCAUAGUGUUCUUUAGUAAUUAAUAUUUCUUAUUGCAUAAUUGUUACAAAAUAUAAUAAUGUUUUUGAGAGCCCUAACGCAGGGCUUCAGAGGGGAUCAAUGAAACAGCAGGUUGUGAGAGUGCUUAUGAUACGCAUGGGAAGACCUUUCUGUUUGGAGACAGUGUGGGGUUAUUAAUUAAUAAACUUAAAAGGAAACAAAAUAAAAAUAAAAAACACCAUAUAAACAAAGCUCCACUGUCUGUGCGAGACCUGACGGUGCUCUAAAAAAUAGAAAUAAAACUUAAGAUUCUCUCUGGGCCUAUGCCCUUACCGAGGAUUUAUGAAAAAGUUGUGCCUUUUUUAUACUUUUAUACUUAUACCUGAGAGGUCUCUGAGUUUUAUAAAUGUAAUAAGUAGAGUUUACAAAUAGCAGUAUAGUUCUUUUCCUACUAAAGACUAGUAGUAUGCAAAUAUUUAAACAUCAGUUUCCAGUAUUAUUUGAACACUAAAUACUGUUUCUACCAUUAUGUUUAUGUUUAGGCAAGGGAAAAAAAAAUCAUGUAUAAUUUCCAUAAAACCUUGCUCAAUUACAAAGAAAAAAAUUGUUCAAUAAGAACUUUGAUGUAUUGAUGGUUUCCUGUUUUUCCUUUCUGUAGCAGUGACAUCAUAGCCUCUUCCUUCUGCUUUAUGUGAAGAACCAGAGAUAGAGACAGUGUGGACAUCUCUUUUAAAUACCCUGAUGGAUAUCGACAUGCACCCAUGUACGUCUGUCAUGACACAUGCAUUUCUUCAAGUGUUUUAAUUUAAUCUGAGAAGCCACGUAAAGUUGUCUCCAAGUGGAGAUACACUGCAGUAAACUCUGCUUCUGCAUGUAGCCUCUCUACCAUCACACACCUUACAUUAAAAGACUCUGGAGUUUAUUACUGUGGAGUGAAUAAAUGGGGAUAUGAAAAGCGAAGUAAAGCAAAGAUUAUUGUCAGAAAAAAGUAUACAUGACUUUAAUUACCAACUUCAGAAUACCCUAAACUAAAAUAAACUAUGUGUGAAUUAUCGAUCCUAGCUACAAAUGUUGCCUGUCUAAUUGAUUGUGAGGGUUAAUUUU